GCCGGGGUGGCCGAGUGGUUUAAGGCGUCGGACUCGAGAUCCGAUGGGGGAUAACCCCGCCUGGGUUCGAAUCCCAGCCCCGGCG
rnacentral:tRNA from 1 species